rnacentral:rRNA from 1 species
AUUGAACGCUGGCGGCAGGCCUAACACAUGCAAGUCGAGCGGAUGAGUGGAGCUUGCUCCAUGAUUCAGCGGCGGACGGGUGAGUAAUGCCUAGGAAUCUGCCUGGUAGUGGGGGACAACGUUUCGAAAGGAGCGCUAAUACCGCAUACGUCCUACGGGAGAAAGUGGGGGAUCUUCGGACCUCACGCUAUCAGAUGAGCCUAGGUCGGAUUAGCUAGUUGGUGAGGUAAAGGCUCACCAAGGCGACGAUCCGUAACUGGUCUGAGAGGAUGAUCAGUCACACUGGAACUGAGACACGGUCCAGACUCCUACGGGAGGCAGCAGUGGGGAAUAUUGGACAAUGGGCGUAAGCCUGAUCCAGCCAUGCCGCGUGUGUGAAGAAGGUCUUCGGAUUGUAAAGCACUUUAAGUUGGGAGGAAGGGCAGUAAGUUAAUACCUUGCUGUUUUGACGUUACCAACAGAAUAAGCACCGGCUAACUUCGUGCCAGCAGCCGCGGUAACAC